UAAUUGAGGCUAUUAAACAAGUAGGGGAGAGUAUCUCCAAGGGAUUGAAACAGAAUCAGGAACAAGUUUUCGCUGCCCUUGCUCCCUUGCAAAAACCGAUGGGACCUCAUGCAUCAGGACGCCAAGCAUUACGAUGCUAUAGAUGCGGGAUUGCGGGACACAUGAAACGACAGUGCAAAACGGCAAACGUUUGGUGUCCGUCAUGCCGCUCGAAUACGCAUAAUGAAUCCGCAUGCCGCAAAGGAGGACAGGGAAACGGGAAAGCCAGCGGGAAGAGUCGCCCCGCAACGACACAAAAAGCGGCUUUCCCCACCACGGCAGCGACAACAGCAGCACCAAUCGGAGCAACGAACCCUUUUGUCUCCAGCCAGCCACAAGCGGGAGCCUGGGACUGGACUUGGCAACAGCAGUAAAUCUUACAUUAUGGGACUCUAAACCAACAAGAGUUAACUCCGGUGUGAUAGGACCCGUGAAAAUUAACGGCGAGCCCGUGGGUGCCUUGCUUAUCGGAAGAUCAUCUGCCACUUUAAAUGGAAUACAAGUGCUAACAGGACUAAUCGAUAAAGAUUAUACCGGGGAUAUACAAAUAAUUGUUUCGGCUAUGUUUCCGCCGGUGUUUAUUCCAAAGGAGACGCGCAUAGCACAGCUAAUACCACUACCCCAUCUAGCGGCCAGCAUUCCACCUGCAAGAGAAGCGCCGCGCAACAAAGGAGCAUUUGGAUCCACAGGUGGAAUGGCCAUGCUAACGGUGGGACUACAGCAAAGACCACGAAGGCCUGUCACCCUUAAAUACAAUGGGGAAACUAUAAGAGUCAACGCCCUAUUGGAUACUGGGGCUGAUAUAUCAAUCAUCAGCACAGAGAACUGGCCUCAGCACUGGCCAACAGUCGAGACAAGUACAACCAUCAGCGGGGUCGGCGGAAUGACUUUUGCUCGUCGAUCCCCACCCCUACAAUGGACAUUGGGGGACAAAACAGUGGAAUGUACAGUCUCUAUAUUACCGCUCCCGGAUGGAGUGCAUGCCCUGGUAGGUCGCGACAUCCUAGCACAAAUGGGAGUGGUGUUAACCACUGAUCACAUGAAUGCCUGCCCUUUAUAGAUGCGGCCAUUGCUUGGACUUUCCCGAUCCCUAUCAGGUGGAAAACUGAGGAGCCUGUUUGGGUGGAGCAGUGGCCUUUAAAAAGGGAAAGUCUGAUACACGCACAUGAACUGAUAAAGGAGCAGUACCUGCAAGGACACUUACAAUUAUCUACCAGC
rnacentral:lncRNA from 1 species